AUUGAACGCUGGCGGCAUGCCUUACACAUGCAAGUCGAACGGUAACGGGCCUUCGUUUGCCUUCUUGUGGCUCACGGGUGAGUAAUUCAUCCGUACGUGCCCGUUCGUUGUGUUUAUCGUGUCUACAGCUUUGCUAUUUCCUCAUACGAUCUUCGUAUCUCAGCCGUGUACCGCAAGGCCUUUCGCCGUCUGUCCUGCCUAUGGCAGAUUAGGUAGUUGGUGGGUUAAAAGCUUACCAAGUCGACGAUCUGUACCUGGUCUGAGAGGAUGAUCAGUCACACUGGAACGGAGACACGGACCAGACUACUACGGGAGGCAGCAGUGGGGAAUAUUGGACAAUGGGCGCAAGCCUGAUACAGCCAUGCCGCGUGAAGGAAGAAGGCCUUCGGGUUGUAAAGUGCUUUUGUAGGGAAAGAAAAGCAUUAUGUUAAUAGAGGAGGGUAAUGACGGUAGCGAAAGAAGAAGCACCGGCUAACUACGUG
rnacentral:rRNA from 1 species